UCGGGAAUUUUGGGCAAUGGGCGAAAGCCUGACCCAGCAACGCCGCGUGAAGGAUGAAGUACUUCGGUAUGUAAACUUCGAAAGAAUAGGAAGAAUAAAUGAGGGUACUAUUUAUAAGGUCCGGCUAACUACGUGCCAGCAGCCGCGGUAAUACGUAGGGACCAAGCGUUGUUCGGAUUUACUGGGCGUAAAGGGCGCGUAGGCGGCUUGACAAGUCACUUGUGAAAUCUCUGGGCUUAACCCAGAACGGCCAAGUGAAACUGUCAUGCUAGAGUGCAGAAGGGGCAAUCGGAAUUCUUGGUGUAGCGGUGAAAUGCGUAGAUAUCAAGAGGAACACCUGAGGUGAAGACGGGUUGCUGGGCUGACACUGACGCUGAGGCGCGAAAGCCAGGGGAGCAAACGGGAUUAGAUACCCCAGUAGUCCCUGAGCGGGCUGGCAAGGCGCAU
rnacentral:rRNA from 1 species